AGCGACGGAUCAUAACUGUCUUAUUUUCGUCGCUAAAGCUUUUGUUUUUGUUAUUUAAAAAUGAAAAUUGGUUCGAAUCUGGGACUUCCUUAGCAAGUGAACGAGCUUAGCCAUUUCAACUAAUAACCCAUUCUGUAUAAUAUGUGAAAUAAAUAUAUUAGUAGUUGAAAAGAUUUCAAGUCCAGCCAGAGUGAAUCUAUUCACACACUCAUACUCUCACGCUCAUGGCCGCCGCCAUCGCUCCUGCUCCACUGUCGCCGCCGUUGACCUCGCCGUCUGCGUAAAGAAUCUUUGUACACUAUCAAAGGGACGGCGUUGGAGGAAGAAGAUAACCUAACACCCUUGUGCAGCUUGCGAUUCAUACAAGGAAAAAUCAACCAAAGGCUCCAACUAAUUGUCUCAGGCUUGAUCGAGAAAACAAAGGUCUUGACAUAAGGAAUAUGACUGAAAUUGAUGGACACCAUAAUUUAUUUAGCUUGAUGAAACAGAGGAUUCUAAGUUACAAGAACCAAAAAUAUAUACAGAAAAGAGUUGGAGCAUUUUCAAGCUCUUGCUAAAGCUCAAUAUCCAAAGGUACAGUUUUUCGUAAUUGCUUGUGCAGACUCUAGGGUAUGCCCCUCUAACAUAUCAGGAUUCCAACCUGGAGAAGUAUUCAUGAUAUGUAACAUCGCCAAUCUUGUACCUGUGAUGAAGAAUGGACCAUCAGAGUGUAAUGCUGCUCUUGAGUUUGCAGUAACUACUCUUGAAGUAGGUGAAUAAGGUGCUUCAGUUGGGCUGGUCUGCUUGAAAUUUUUAUUUUGGUGUCAGAUGUUAAUUCUUUAGGUACCAUCUUUGUAACACGUUCAAGUGUGUGGCUAUUUAUAAUAAACAAAUAAGUUUUCAUCUAUCAAACAAAAUAAUGCUUGAAUCUGAGCCCGCUAGUCUUCAAGCUUUACCUAUGCUUGCCAUAAAUUUAUAAUGCAUGUUUUUGCAAUUUACUUGCUUAUU